UUCCUUGUUGGGUAUUUAAGUUUUGCUUGUUAGGUGGCGUACUUCAUAACUUAAGUCUUGAUUUCUAGAAGAUGCACUUUCUAGUCGAGUCCUUCUAUGUAACCCCUAGGAUACAUGCCUCCUUAUUCUUAAGAGAUGCAUUUACUAAUCAGAGUCUUGAUUCAUAUUUGCAUUACAUAUUUUGCAAGUUGUUGUGAUUGAGUUUGACACCCAC
rnacentral:lncRNA from 1 species